rnacentral:rRNA from 1 species
UACGAAGGGUGCAAGCGUUACUCGGAAUUACUGGGCGUAAAGCGUGCGUAGGCGGUUUGUUAAGUCCGUUGUGAAAGCCCUGGGCUCAACCUGGGAAUUGCAGUGGAUACUGGCGAGCUAGAGUGCGGUAGAGGAUGGUGGAAUUCCCGGUGUAGCGGUGAAAUGCGUAGAUAUCAAGAGGAACACCUGCGGCGAAGGCGGGUUGCUGGGCCGACACUGACGCUGAGGCGCGAAAGCCAGGGGAGCGAACGGG